GUCGAGCGAACAGAUAAGGAGCUUGCUCCUUUGACGUUAGCGGCGGACGGGUGAGUAACACGUGGGUAACCUACCUAUAAGACUGGGAUAACUUCGGGAAACCGGAGCUAAUACCGGAUAACAUUUGGAACCGCAUGGUUCUAAAGUGAAAGAUGGUUUUGCUAUCACUUAUAGAUGGACCCGCGCCGUAUUAGCUAGUUGGUAAGGUAACGGCUUACCAAGGCGACGAUACGUAGCCGACCUGAGAGGGUGANCGGCCACACUGGAACUGAGACACGGUCCAGACUCCUACGGGAGGCAGCAGUAGGGAAUCUUCCGCAAUGGGCGAAAGCCUGACGGAGCAACGCCGCGUGAGUGAUGAAGGGUUUCGGCUCGUAAAACUCUGUUAUUAGGGAAGAACAAACGUGUAAGUAACUAUGCACGUCUUGACGGUACCUAAUCAGAAAGCCACGGCUAACUACGUGCCAGCAGCCGCGGUAAUACGUAGGUGGCAAGCGUUAUCCGGAAUUAUUGGGCGUAAAGCGCGCGUAGGCGGUUUCUUAAGUCUGAUGUGAAAGCCCACGGCUCAACCGUGGAGGGUCAUUGGAAACUGGGAAACUUGAGUGCAGAAGAGGAAAGUGGAAUUCCAUGUGUAGCGGUGAAAUGCGCAGAGAUAUGGAGGAACACCAGUGGCGAAGGCGACUUUCUGGUCUGUAACUGACGCUGAUGUGCGAAAGCGUGGGGAUCAAACAGGAUUAGAUACCCUGGUAGUCCACGCCGUAAACGAUGAGUGCUAAGUGUUAGGGGGUUUCCGCCCCUUAGUGCUGCAGCUAACGCAUUAAGCACUCCGCCUGGGGAGUACGACCGCAAGGUUGAAACUCAAAGGAAUUGACGGGGACCCGCACAAGCGGUGGAGCAUGUGGUUUAAUUCGA
rnacentral:rRNA from 1 species